GUAAACGAUGUCGACUUGGAGGUUGUGCCCUUGAGGCGUGGCUUCCGGAGCUAACGCGUUAAGUCGACCGCCUGGGGAGUACGGCCGCAAGGUUAAAACUCAAAUGAAUUGACGGGGGCCCGCACAAGCGGUGGAGCAUGUGGUUUAAUUCGAUGCAACGCGAAGAACCUUACCUGGUCUUGACAUCCACGGAAGUUUUCAGAGAUGAGAAUGUGCCUUCGGGAACCGUGAGACAGGUGCUGCAUGGCUGUCGUCAGCUCGUGUUGUGAAAUGUUGGGUUAAGUCCCGCAACGAGCGCAACCCUUAUCCUUUGUUGCCAGCGGUCCGGCCGGGAACUCAAAGGAGACUGCCAGUGAUAAACUGGAGGAAGGUGGGGAUGACGUCAAGUCAUCAUGGCCCUUACGACCAGGGCUACACACGUGCUACAAUGGCGCAUACAAAGAGAAGCGACCUCGCGAGAGCAAGCGGACCUCAUAAAGUGCGUCGUAGUCCGGAUUGGAGUCUGCAACUCGACUCCAUGAAGUCGGAAUCGCUAGUAAUCGUGGAUCAGAAUGCCACGG
rnacentral:rRNA from 2 species